rnacentral:rRNA from 1 species
AUGAGUUGCUUAGUAUGGAACUGUCGUGGGGCUGGCACACCCACGACAGUUCGUGAGCUUCGGGGUCUCUCGAAGCAACAUGCCCCCUCUAUUGUUUGUAUCCUUGAAACCCAAAUAGAGGGCUCACGAGUUGAGAAUAUGGUAGGCUCUUUAGGUUUUGAUAAAAGUUUCGCUGUAAGCAGCUCCGGUAGGACUGGUGGAUGA